rnacentral:lncRNA from 1 species
UUGUACUAAGUGGCGGAGCCGGAAAUUAUUUUUAGGUAUGGUGGAUUUAUAAACGGCAAUUGGUUAACUAUACAUACACACCUCAAAACAUUAUGCAUUUAUAUAUAUAUAUAUAGAGCAAAUAUAAUAGAAAUUCAAAAGUAAAGCAUUGAUACUUAAAAUACCUCACUAAAUGAAGAUUUUUUAUAUUCUACCUCUUGAAUACUCACCAGAACCAGCUCAAUGCCUACAUCCUCUGCCUCUUCUUGUUGUCCAGCAACACCAUCUACUGGCAUAGCUGGGUUGGAGUUGCUAAUGGUAAAUGCUUUGGAAAAAAGUGUCUUCAAAUCUGUAUUCAAAAAUAACAAGACAAAAAAGAAAAAUAAUACAUGAUUGUUAAAUAAAAUAACACUCAAACAGUACUACAGAAAAAAAAUUUGGAGGCGAGCGUUUUAUAUUUUCAGAGGCGGACAAAAGCAACCGGUCACGGUUAAUAAUUGCUUAACGGAGACGGUUACCCUACCCGCUUCCAUUAAUCGAUUAAUGGAAGCGGUCAUUUUAGAGCGCCCGCCGCUGUUAUUGAAUAUUAAAAAUAAAAAAAGAACAAGCCCAGAUGAGCCCGCUAGCCCAAUUCAGUCUGCCGCAUGCGUCAUUGCCAUUGGGGCCAGAUCCACAGCUCGGGUGGACAGAUCUGCGACCAGUUGCUCCUCCUUGACGGAACCGCCGCAAGUACAUCCUCCUCGCCAUACCGUUGCCAUCGCCGGGGCACGAGCUCGGCACCACCGCCUCUAGAUCCGCGCAGGGGAAGGAGCAAUAGGGUGUGGCGCUUCCUCGCGCACCGCCACAGGAAGCCUCUCCCGCUAGGUGCUGUUGCUGGAGAAGGACGCACCGAGGAGGGCGCUUCCUCGCACGGUCGUGCCCACACUGGAGGAGCACCGCUGCCUUGCUCGUGUCGCCGGCCCGCCUCGAACGCACCACC